rnacentral:rRNA from 1 species
GUGCGUAACACGUGGAUAAUCUGCCCUUCGGUUGGGGGACAACAGUCCGAAAGGAUUGCUAAUACCCCGUAAGUCGGCGAGCUCUUCGGAGCAUGCCGGGAUAGAUGGCCUCUAUUUAUAAGCUAUCGACGAAGGAUGAGUCCGCGUCCCAUCAGCUAGUUGGCGAGGUAAUGGCUCACCAAGGCGAAGACGGGUAGCUGGUCUGAGAGGAUGAUCAGCCACACUGGAACUGAGACACGGUCCAGACUCCUACGGGAGGCAGCAGUGGGGAAUAUUGGGCAAUGGGCGAAAGCCUGACCCAGCUAUGCCGCGUGAGUGAUGAAGGCCUUCGGGUCGUAAAGCUCUGUGGGGAGAGAAGAAUCGCCUUAUGGCUAACAUCCAUGAGGUCUGACGGUAUCUCCUUAGCAAGCACCGGCUAACUCUGUGCCAGCAGCCGCGGUAAUACAGAGGGUGCAAACGUUGCUCGGAAUUAUUGGGCGUAAAACGCAC